rnacentral:rRNA from 1 species
GACGAACGCUGGCGGCGUGCCUAAUACAUGCAAGUAGAACGCUGAAGGAGGAGCUUGCUUCUCCGGAUGAGUUGCGAACGGGUGAGUAACGCGUAGGUAACCUGCCUGGUAGCGGGGGAUAACUAUUGGAAACGAUAGCUAAUACCGCAUAACAGUAGAUAUCGCAUGAUAUCUGCUUGAAAGGUGCAAUUGCAUCACUACCAGAUGGACCUGCGUUGUAUUAGCUAGUUGGUGAGGUAACGGCUCACCAAGGCGACGAUACAUAGCCGACCGGAGAGGGUGAUCGGCCACACUGGGACUGAGACACGGCCCAGACUCCUACGGGAGGCAGCAGUAGGGAAUCUUCGGCAAUAGACGGAAGUCUGACCGAGAAACGCCGCGUGAGUGAAGAAGGUUUUCGGAUCGUAAAGCUCUGUUGUAAGAGAAGAACGAGUGUGAGAGUGGAAAGUUCACACUGUGACGGUAUCUUACCAGAAAGGGACGGCUAACUACGUG